UACGUAGGGGGCAAGCGUUGUCCGGAUUUAUUGGGCGUAAAGCGCUCGCAGGUGGUUUGUCGCGUCGUGCGUGAAAGACCCCGGCUCAACUGGGGGGUGUCGUGCGAUACGGGCGGACUGGAGGCCAGUAGGGGGAUGCGGAAUUCCGGGUGUAGUGGUGGAAUGCGUAGAGAUCCGGAGGAACACCAGCGGCGAAGGCGGCAUCCUGGACUGGUCCUGACACUCAGGAGCGAAAGCGUGGGGAGCGAUCCGG
rnacentral:rRNA from 1 species